UCUUGACAUCCCAGUGACCGUCCUAGAGAUAGGAUUUUUCUUCGGAACACUGGAGACAGGUGGUGCAUGGUUGUCGUCAGCUCGUGUCGUGAGAUGUUGGGUUAAGUCCCGCAACGAGCGCAACCCCUAUUGUUAGUUGCCAUCAUUCAGUUGGGCACUCUAGCGAGACUGCCGGUAAUAAACCGGAGGAAGGUGGGGAUGACGUCAAAUCAUCAUGCCCCUUAUGACCUGGGCUACACACGUGCUACAAUGGCUGGUACAACGAGUCGCAAGUCGGUGACGACAAGCUAAUCUCUUAAAGCCAGUCUCAGUUCGGAUUGUAGGCUGCAACUCGCCUACAUGAAGUCGGAAUCGCUAGUAAUCGCGGAUCAGCACGCCGCGGUGAAUACGUUCCCGGGCCUUGUACACACCGCCCGUCACACCACGAGAGUUUGUAACACCCGAAGUCGGUGAGGUAACCAUUUGGAGCCAGCCGCCUAAGGUGGGAUAGAUGAUUGGGGUG
rnacentral:rRNA from 1 species